CUGGCGGCGUGCUAACACAUGCAAGUCGAACGCGAAAGGGACUUCGGUCCUGAGUAAAGUGGCGCACGGGUGAGUAACGCGUAGAUAACCUGUCUUCAUGUCUGGAAUAAUACGCCGAAAGGGGUACUAAUACCGGAUAUUCUUGCUUUUCAUAAGUUAUGCAAGCAAAGGUGGCCUCUGCAUAUGCUACUGCAUGAAGAGGGGUCUGCGUACCAUUAGCUAGUAGGUGGGGUAAUGGCCUACCUAGGCGACGAUGGUUAGCGGGUCUGAGAGGAUGAUCCGCCACACUGGCACUGGAACACGGGCCAGACUCCUACGGGAGGCAGCAGUGAGGAAUAUUGCGCAAUGGGGGAAACCCUGACGCAGCGACGCCGCGUGAGUGAGGAAAGGCCUUCGGGUCGUAAAGCUCUGUCAAGAGGAAAGAAGUGUACAAUGGCUAAUACCUGUUGUAUUUGACGGUACCUCUAAAGGAAGCACCGGCUAACUCCGUGCCAGCAGCAGC
rnacentral:rRNA from 1 species